GGAUCCAGACUUUGAUCCUGGCUCAGGACGAACGCUGGCGGCGUGCUUAGCACAUGCAAGUCGAACGAUGAAGUUAUGACGGAGGCUUCGGCCGACUGAAUAAUGGAUUAGUGGCGGACGGGUGAGUAACGCGUGAGUAACCUGCCUUUCAGAGAGGAAUAACAUUUGGAAACGAAUGGUAAUACCACAUAACAUUACGUUCUCGCAUGGGGAUGUAAUCAAAGAUUUAUCGCUGAGAGAUGGACUCGCGUCCGAUUAGCUGGAUGGUGAGGUAACGGCCCACCAUGGCGACGAUCGGUAGCCGGACUGAGAGGUUGAACGGCCACAUUGGGACUGAGACACGGCCCAGACUCCUACGGGAGGCAGCAGUGGGGAAUAUUGCACAAUGGGGGAAACCCUGAUGCAGCAACGCCGCGUGAAGGAAGACGGUCUUCGGAUUGUAAACUUUUGUUCUUGGUGAAGAAGAAUGACGGUAGCCAAGGAGGAAGCCACGGCUAACUACGUGCCAGCAGCCGCGGUAAUACGUAGGUGGCAAGCGUUGUCCGGAAUUACUGGGUGUAAAGGGAGCGCAGGCGGGAAAUCAAGUUGGAUGUGAAAUGUCGGGGCUUAACCCCGGAACUGCAUCCAAAACUGAUAUUCUUGAGUGAAGUAGAGGUAGGCGGAAUUCCGAGUGUAGCGGUGAAAUGCGUAGAUAUUCGGAGGAACACCAGUGGCGAAGGCGGCCUACUGGGCUUUAACUGACGCUGAGGCUCGAAAGUGUGGGGAGCAAACAGGAUUAGAUACCCUGGUAGUCCACACUGUAAACGAUGAUUGCUAGGUGUGGGGGGUCUGACCCCCUCCGUGCCGGAGUUAACGCAAUAAGCAAUCCACCUGGGGAGUACGGCCGCAAGGUUGCAACU
rnacentral:rRNA from 1 species